UGCAAGUCGAACGAUGACGGUGGUGCUUGCACCGCCUGAUUAGUGGCGAACGGGUGAGUAACACGUGAGUAACCUGCCCUCCACUUCGGAAUAACCUCGGGAAAUCGUGGCUAAUACCGGAUAUGAGCACUCAUCGCAUGGUGGGUGUUGGAAAGAUUUAUCGGUGGGGGAUGGACUCGCGGCCUAUCAGUUUGUUGGUGAGGUGAUGGCUCACCAAGACGAUGACGGGUAGCCGGCCUGAGAGGGCGACCGGCCACACUGGGACUGAGACACGGCCCAGACUCCUACGGGAGGCAGCAGUGGGGAAUAUUGCACAAUGGGCGAAAGCCUGAUGCAGCGACGCCGCGUGGGGGAUGACGGCCUUCGGGUUGUAAACCCCUUUCAGUAGGGAAGAAGCGAGAGUGACGGUACCUGCAGAAGAAGCGCCGGCUAACUACGUGCCAGCAGCCGCGGUAAUACGUAGGGCGCAAGCGUUGUCCGGAAUUAUUGGGCGUAAAGAGCUUGUAGGUGGCUUGUCGCGUCUGCCGUGAAAACCCGAGGCUCAACCUCGGGCGUGCGGUGGGUACGGGCAGGCUAGAGUGUGGUAGGGGAGACUGGAACUCCUGGUGUAGCGGUGAAAUGCGCAGAUAUCAGGAAGAACACCGAUGGCGAAGGCAGGUCUCUGGGCCAUUACUGACACUGAGAAGCGAAAGCAUGGGUAGCGAACAGGAUUAGAUACCCUGGUAGUCCAUGCCGUAAACGUUGGGCACUAGGUGUGGGGGACAUUCCACGUUUUCCGCGCCGUAGCUAACGCAUUAAGUGCCCCGCCUGGGGAGUACGGCCGCAAGGCUAAAACUCAAAGGAAUUGACGGGGGCCCGCACAAGCGGCGGAGCAUGCUGAUUAAUUCGAUGCAACGCGAAG
rnacentral:rRNA from 1 species